CCUACGGGAGGCUGCAGUGAGGAAUAUUGGUCAAUGGGCGUAAGCCUGAACCAGCCAAGUCGCGUGAGGGAUGAAGGUUCUAUGGAUCGUAAACCUCUUUUAUAAGGGAAUAAAGUGCGGGACGUGUCCCGUUUUGUAUGUACCUUAUGAAUAAGGAUCGGCUAACUCCGGGCCAGCAGCCGCGGUAAUACGGAGGAUCCGAGCGUUAUCCGGAUUUAUUGGGGUUAAAGGGUUCGUAGGCGGCCUUUUAAGUCAGCGGGGAAAGUCUGUGGCUCAACCAUAGAAUUGCCGUUGAAACUGGGAGGCUUGAGUAUGUUAGAGGCAGGCGGAAUUCGUGGUGUAGCGGUGAAAUGCUUAGAUAUCACGCAGAACCCCGAUUGCGAAGGCAGCCUGCCAGGCCAUGACUGACGCUGAUGCACGAAAGCGUGGGGAUCAAACAGGAUUAGAUACCCCGGUAGUC
rnacentral:rRNA from 1 species